rnacentral:rRNA from 1 species
UAAUUUUUUUUAGAGUUCUUAUCGAAAAAAGAGAUUGCGACCUCGAUGUUGGAUUAAAAAUAAAUUUUUGGUGUAGAAGCUAAUAAAUUAGGUCUGUUCGACCUUUAAAUUUUUACAUGAUCUGAGUUUAAACCGGUGUAAGCCAGGUUGGUUUCUAUCUCAAUGAAGGAAUAAUAUCUUAGUACGAAAGGACCAGGUAUUAAAUUUGUGGAAUUUAUAGAAGAAUAGUAUAAAUUUA